rnacentral:rRNA from 1 species
CUACGGGUGGCUGCAGUGGGGAAUAUUGGACAAUGGGGGAAACCCUGAUCCGGCAAUGCCGCGUGUGUGAAGAAGGCCUGCGGGUUGUAAAGCACUUUCGGUUGGGAGGACUGCUUCUAGCACUAAUAUUGUUGGAAGUUGACGUUACCUUCAGAAGAAGCACCGGCUAACACCGUGCCAGCAGCCGCGGUAAUACGGAGGGUGCAAGCGUGAAUCGGAAUUACUGGGCGUAAAGCGCGCGUAGGCGGCUAGAUCAGUCGGGUGUGAAAGCCCCGGGCUUAACCUGGGAACUGCAUCCGAUACUGUCUAGCUUGAGUACAGGAGAGGAGAGUGGAAUUCCACAUGUAGCGGUGAAAUGCGUAGAUAUGUGGAGGAACACCAAUGGCGAAGGCAGCUCUCUGGCCUGAUACUGACGCUGAGGUGCGAAAGCGUGGGGAGCAAACAGGAUUAGAUACCCCGGUAGUC